UGUGUGUGUGUGUGUGUGUGUGUGUGUGUGUGUGUGUGUGUGUGUGUGUGUGUGUGUGUGUGUGUGUGUGUGUGUGUGUGUGUGUGUGUGUGUGUGUGUGUGUGUGUGUGUGUGUGUGUGUGUGUGUGUGUGUGUGUGUGUGUGUGUGUGUGUGCGUGUGCGUGCGUGCGGGCGUGCAAGUAUGUAUGUAUGUAUGUCACUUUAUUGCACAUAAACAGGUUUACAUAAAAUGGAGAAAACAAAAAAAAAAUUAUAUCAAAAUGCGAACUUAUCCCUGUAAGGGAUCUCUUCCA